rnacentral:misc_RNA from 1 species
AAAAUGCGAAACGUAAUGCGAUUUGCAUGAAUCUGUGAGUCAUUUAAUUUUUGAACGCAACUUGCACCCAUGAAGGGUAUGUUUGUUUGAGACAUGGUAUGGUAUAUUUAUUGAAUGAAGUGGUCAUGACAAGGUCUUGACUGGAAAGUAUGGUAUGGAACAAUGUGGUAGGAUAAAAGUCCAAGUGUUAGGAUAGGACUGUUAAGGGGGUGGGGUAGGGCAGUUUGGACUGUUUGGACUGUUGGCUUUGAAAUGACAUGAUUCAAUUCAUGACACAUCUUAAUCUCAAUUCAUGACACAGCUCAACGCUCAACUCAACACUCAACACUCAACACUCAAUUCAUGGAAAUUCAAUCCACACAUCAAAACACGUCUCAAAUCAAGCAAGAUUACCCGCUGA